GAGAAAUGAACACUAUGUGAGAUUUCAGAUUUAUAUGCUGUACAAGUGGCCUUACCGUGCAGAUAAUUACAUAUGCAUGUGUUCAUAUUUUAAACCUUUUUGUGUUGAUGGCACCGAUGAAAAUCUGAUUUCCUGACUACUGGAUUUUCUGAUUCCCAUCUUAAGAAGUUCUGGCUUCCAAGACUGUUUUGAAACUUAGGUGACCGGGUAAGUAUCUGCAUGUGUUCAUAUUUUAAACCUUUUUGUGUUGAUGGCACCGAUGAAAAUCUGAUUUCCUGACUACUGGAUUUUCUGAUUCCCAUCUUAAGAAGUUCUGGCUUCCAAGACUGUUUUGAAACUUAGGUGACCGGGUAAGUACAACUUCAACAUUUUGCAGCUGUGAACAGACUUGAAAGGUGCCGUGGCAAAAAAAAGUUGCAGGGAAUCAUCUAUUCAGUUUUUCCCGUGCAUGUUUUCCUGCCCCUUGUUUUCCCAAGUUAUCGCUUUUGUGUUAUGGGGUCUUGUAAAAGGUCUUGAAGGCUUCUUGCUGAACGAACCUCCUCAAGAUGUUUGGUCAUUCAGCAUUUCGUGUUUGGUUCCAGUGAAUCAAUUAUGCUCUGUUUGUCUUAUUUGUUUGACACAGUUAACUCCAUUGAGCCGGAAUGUGCGAGUUUCCAAGUAUCAUGCAAUAGGUUUCUUUGUGUAUGGACUUUUUUUGUUCUGAAGUUUAAAACUGAAGGAAUAAUCCCUCAGUUGUUUACGAGUUGUGUUAAGUAGCAAGGGAUUUGCACCUUUAUAACGUGCUUCUGUUGAAUUUUCAUUAUUUGUAGUACCAAU
rnacentral:lncRNA from 1 species